rnacentral:rRNA from 1 species
GAUGAACGCUGGCGGCGUGCCUAAUACAUGCAAGUCGAACGGAAGGACGAUGAGCUUGCUGCGCUGAUGUUAGCGGCGGACGGGUGAAUAACACGUGGAUAACCUACCUAUAAUACUGGGAUAACUUCGAGACACCGGAGCUAAUACCGGAUGAUCUUUUGAACCGCAGGGUUCAAAGGAGAAAGACGGUCUUGCUGUCACUUCUAGCUGGAUCCGCGCUGCAUUAGCUAGUUGGUAAGGUAACGGCUUACCAAGGCAACGAUGCAUAGCCGAACUGAGAGGGGGAUCGGCCACACUGGAAGGGAGACACGGUCCAGAGUACUACGGGAGGCAGCAGUAGGGUAUGGGCGGCAAUGGGCGAAAGUCUGACGGAGCGAGGGCGAGCGUGUGACGACGGUCUCGGGAGCGGAAAACUCUGUUACUAGGUAAGAACAUAUGUGGAAGUAAACGUGGAGAGAGUGACGGUACCGAAUAAGAAAGCACCGGCUAACUACGUG